rnacentral:rRNA from 1 species
GAACGAACGCUGGCGGCAUGCCUAACACAUGCAAGUCGAACGAGACCUUCGGGUCUAGUGGCGCACGGGUGCGUAACGCGUGGGAACCUGCCCUUAGGUUCGGAAUAACUCCCCGAAAGGGGUGCUAAUACCGGAUAAUGUCUUCGGACCAAAGAUUUAUCGCCUUUGGAUGGGCCCGCGUUGGAUUAGCUAGUUGGUAGGGUAAAAGCCUACCAAGGCGACGAUCCAUAGCUGGUCUGAGAGGAUGAUCAGCCACACUGAGACUGAGACACGGCCCAGACUCCUACGGGAGGUAGCAGUGGGGAAUAUUGGACAAUGGGCGAAAGCCUGAUCCAGCAAUGCCGCGUGAGUGAUGAAGGCCUUAGGGUUGUAAAGCUCUUUUACCCGGGAUGAUAAUGACAGUACCGGGAGAAUAAGCUCCGGCUAACUCCGUG